rnacentral:rRNA from 1 species
GAUGAACGCUGGCGGCGUGCCUAAUACAUGCAAGUCGAGCGAACAGACGAGGAGCUUGCUCCUCUGACGUUAGCGGCGGACGGGUGAGUAACACGUGGAUAACCUACCUAUAAGACUGGGAUAACUUCGGGAAACCGGAGCUAAUACCGGAUAAUAUAUUGAACCGCAUGGUUCAAUAGUGAAAGACGGUUUUGCUGUCACUUAUAGAUGGAUCCGCGCCGCAUUAGCUAGUUGGUAAGGUAACGGCUUACCAAGGCAACGAUGCGUAGCCGACCUGAGAGGGUGAUCGGCCACACUGGAACUGAGACACGGUCCAGACUCCUACGGGAGGAAGCAGUAGGGAAUCGUCCGCAAUGGGCGAAAGCCUGACGGAGCAACGCCGCGUGAGUGAUGAAGGUCUUCGGAUCGUAAAACUCUGUUAUUAGGGAAGAACAAAUGUGUAAGUAACUAUGCACGUAUUGACGGUACCUAAUCAGAAAGCCACGGCUAACUACGUGC